rnacentral:rRNA from 1 species
UACGUAGGGGGCAAGCGUUGUCCGGAAUCAUUGGGCGUAAAGCGCGUGUAGGCGGCUUGGCAAGUCGGGUGUGAAAGCCCCGGGCUCAACCUGGGAAGUGCACUCGAAACUGCUUCGCUUGAGUACUGGAGAGGGUAGUGGAAUUCUCGGUGUAGAGGUGAAAUUCGUAGAUAUCGAGAGGAACGAUCGGUGGCGAAGGACGGCUACCUGGACAGUUACUGACGCUGAGACGCGAAAGCGUGGGGAGCAAACAGG